GGAGGGGAGGGGACGCGGCCGAGGUGGGGCUGGCGGCCCGGCGGGUUCCACGCAGGCUGGGGGCGGAGGGCCAGAUCGACCCCAGCCGGGGCGGCCGAGCAGGGUCCACGGGGGUCGGGGAUGGGCGGCCAGGCGGGGUCGGAGGGACGAAAGCCGGGGUGAACCUGCGCCGCGGGCCAAGCGCGACCCCCUCCCUUCCCGACCUGUGCGGAGAGGAGAGAAAUGAAGGGGGGCGCCCAAGGAGCCCUGGCCCCGGGAGUGGGAGUCAGCGGGUGGGAACAGAUCGCCCUUCCUUUCCGCUGGGAAUUGGGGGACUCCCCCUGCUUUCACUCUCCCAGCCCGCCAUGGGGUUGGGCCUUGUCCUUUGCCUUGGGUUUGAAGGCGGAGACAAAAAAGGCUGUCCAAAAUCCAGCCAGCUUGGGAGGCAUGGUUGAUGCGAGUUAGCAAAGAUUCUCGACUGUGGUGUUGCUAAAAGCCUCCAGUGAAUGAAUGAACACUUGUGUGCCUGCCCUCAAGGAGCCUGCACUACACUUGGAGAUAUAUACAGAAACCUGUUGAGGGCUAACUUAGGUUGGCAAGGCCCCCAGUGGCCAAGGCAUGAGCCUGGAUGCCCUGCAAAUUGAGUACGUGUUAGGGAUGGGGGCCAUUCUUUAUAGUUUGACUCUGGAGAGCUAGGACCACCUUUCCCAGCCUCAGGGGUGCACAUCCUCAGGAGCUGCCUACCUCCAGAUAUUGUAAGUCCAUGCAGAAGAGGAAGGGCCCAGCUGGGGCACCUCUUGGUUGAGGAAUGAGUAUGUGACAUUUUCAUGUGGGCACAUUUUGAUACUACUUUAAAAAUAGACCAAGCACAGUGGCUCACACCUGUAAUUCCAGCACUUCGGGACGCUGAGAGAGGUGGAUCACCUGAGGUCAGGAGUUCGAGAUCAGCCUGGCCAACAUGGAGAAACCCCGCCUCUACUAAAAAUACAAAACAUUAGCUGGGUGUGGUGGCACACACCUGUAAUUCCAGCUACUCGGGAGGCAGAAGCAGGAGAAUCGCUUGAAUCCAGGAGGCGGAGGUUGCAGUAAGCCGAGAUCACGCCACUACACUCCAGCUUACACUGGACAUGAUGAGGAGGAGGAGGAUGAUGGUGGUGAUUAUGAUAGAAAUGGUGAUGGUGAUGAUGACAAUGGUGAUAGUAGGGAUGGUCUUGCUCUGUCGCAAUCAAUAAAUGAAUGCAUAAACACAUUUCUACUUGUUUUUGCAGUCCUAAGAUAAGUGCUCAGUAGCAUCCCUGCCCUUCUAAUGUGAACUUGAGGGAUGGGUAAGACCCAGAGAUG
rnacentral:lncRNA from 1 species